rnacentral:rRNA from 1 species
AUACGAAAGGUGCAAGCGUUGUUCGGAUUUACUGGGCGUAAAGAGAGUGUAGGUUGUUUAUUAAGUCGGAUGUGAAAUCCCGGGGCUCAACCUCGGAACUGCAUUCGAUACUGGUAGACUAGAGUUCGGGAGGGGUAAGCGGAAUUCCGUGUGUAGCAGUGAAAUGCGUAGAUAUACGGAGGAACACCUGAGGCGAAGGCGGCUUACUGGACCGAUACUGACACUGAGACUCGAAAGCGUGGGUAGCAAACAGGAGUAGAAACCCGAGUAGUCC